rnacentral:lncRNA from 1 species
AAUCAUGUUUUUUAUUUUGAAAAUAUAGUCGUUUCUUGGCGUUGGCUAAGUUCGCCCUCACGUGGUGGUUUGGCAUGAAGUGAACUCUAAAAGUUAUACCUCGAGAGUUACCCUACUCGCCUCUCCAGUCGAGGUAAGAAUAUGACCAGAUUUCGUGCGCCUUUAAUAGGCUAGUCCAUAGAACCAGCCCACUGUAGCAAGCUAAACCCACCAUAUAAUAAAAUUUGCAACAGCAUGACAUGGCAAUUUUAUCAUUAUCUAGCCUAUCAAGGCAAACAACAGUUUAUACAUUUCAACACAAAUACCAAUUCAACUGUUCAUGCCAAUAUUGUCAUAAGCCAAUCAAUUAGAACCAUAAAUUCACAAUAUAUAAAAUGGUCUCCAAUUACUCUAUUUAAAAAGCCAUUAUUCAAUUUUAAAACAAUUUUAUGAAAUCAUUUCAUUAAAUCACAUUUGGUUUAUAAAAUCGAAAAAUUAAUCAUUUAAUUCAUUUUCCAUGAAAUUCACAAAAUCGGAUAAAAAUCACUUUAGAUAAUUAAGACGAUAGUAAGGUUACUCACAGUACU